rnacentral:rRNA from 1 species
GAUGAACGCUGGCGGCGUGCCUAAUACAUGCAAGUCGAGCGAACAGACGAGGAGCUUGCUCCUCUGACGUUAGCGGCGGACGGGUGAGUAACACGUGGAUAACCUACCUAUAAGACUGGGAUAACUUCAGGAAACCGGAGCUAAUACCGGAUAAUAUAUUGAACCGCAUGGUUCAAUAGUGAAAGACGGUUUUGCUGUCACUUAUAGAUGGAUCCGCGCCGCAUUAGCUAGUUGGUAAGGUAACGGCUUACCAAGGCAACGAUGCGUAGCCGACCUGAGAGGGUGAUCGGCCACACUGGAACUGAGACACGGUCCAGACUCCUACGGGAGGCAGCAGUAGGGAAUCUUCCGCAAUGGGCGAAAGCCUGACGGAGCAACGCCGCGUGAAUGAUGAAGGUCUUCGGAUCGUAAAACUCUGUUAUUAGGGAAGAACAAAUGUGUAAGUAACUAUGCACGUCUUGACGGUACCUAAUCAGAAAGCCACGGCUAACUACGUG